rnacentral:sRNA from 1 species
AGUUAUUGCAUAUAAAUAUUUGCCUACAUAGCACUGUUCAGCUUUUGUAUUUCUUUUCUAGAACUUCCGUUAUCGCCAGUCCCGCGAGCUCGGCAAUAGAAAAAAGAUGACCUGGGAAACAAAUUUCAUCCCGAUGUAGUGGGUAGUAGUAGUCGUAGUAGUAGUAGUCCGUAACUUCUACACACCAGGACCUGGUAAGUCCAAAAGAUGGAAAUGUAAAUCUCAAUAUCAGAGCUCAAAAAAAAAAAAAAAAAAAAAACCGG